UAGGGAAUUUUUGCGCAAUGGGCGAAAGCCUGACGCAGCAACGCCGCGUGAAUGUUAAACCCUUCGGGGUGUAAAGUUCUGUCAGUGGGGACGAACAAAUGACGGUACCCACAGAGGAAGCACCGGCUAACUCCGUGCCAGCAGCCGCGGUAAUACGGAGGGUGCAAGCGUUGUCCGGAAUCAUUGGGCGUAAAGAGUUCGUAGGCGGUUUGUUAAGUCUGGUGUUAAAGCCCGAAGCUCAACUUCGGUUCGGCACUGGGUACUGGCAGACUAGAAUGCGGUAGAGGUAAAGGGAAUUCCUGGUGUAGCGGUGAAAUGCGUAGAUAUCAGGAGGAACAUCGGUGGCGUAAGCGCUUUACUGGGCCGUAAUUGACGCUGAGGAACGAAAGCCAGGGUA
rnacentral:rRNA from 1 species